UGAUACUCUUUUGGAAACAGUAGCUCAAAGGUUAAACAUUCAUCUCUUGGAAGCGUUUCCAACAGCCAAUUCUCUAUAUGAAACCUGACGUUGAUGACAACUUGAGCUGUUGUCGUUUUGGUGAACUCUACACUCAAUGAGGGACUUGAACUCACCACUUCAAACAAGAUUAAGAGUCAUAUGCUCUACCUUCUGAGCCAGCCAGAUGCCCCCAUAGUUAAGUGUUUUCAAAGUUGAAGCUGAAUUUAUCUCUAUAGGAUAAUGGUUUCUACUAUAUGUAAAAAAGAAAAAAGGAAGAAAAAUAGGAAAAAAGCAAGAUUUAAAUAAGAAAAGGUUUAGGAGACAAAUCAACUAACUAUAAUGUGUGACCUUGUUUGGAUACUGAUUAAGUAAACCAAAUGUCAAAAAAGAAAAAUCAUUUAGGAGAUAA